CUCGUAGGCGGUUCAACAAGUCGGUCGUGAAAGCCCGGGGCUCAACUCCGGGACGCCGGUCGAUACUGUUGUGACUAGAGUUCGGUAGAGGUGAGUGGAAUUCUCAGUGUAGCGGUGGAAUGCGCAGAUAUUGAGAGGAACACCAUUAGCGAAGGCGGCUCACUGGGCCGAUACUGACGCUGAGGAGCGAAAGCGUGGGGAGCAAACAGGAUUAGAUACCCUGGUAGUCC
rnacentral:rRNA from 1 species